UUUAAUGUUUUGUAGAUAUGAGGAAUGGACUCAUACCGAUGUAAACGGAUAAAAAUGUAUCAAAUAGAUCUAGGAUUCAAUACUAAACGAGGGGGAGUCGUCAUAUAGCCAUGUUUUUCUGGAAUUCCGGAAACGAUAGUAAAAGGAAACGCUGACGGGGAGUUUCGGUAGAGCAAGGCGGAGGAUGAGUGCAAUGAGCAAUUCACUUGAGAAUAUCUCAGAAAAUGGACGAAAAACGUCACUUUUGAAAAAAGUUGGACUUGAAUUCAAGGCAACAUUACAUAUAAAUUCAAAGAAGAUUGAGGUGCCGGAAAAGUAAUGCACUGCUUCAAAUGUUUAUUGCCUAGUAUAAUCAACUAAAGAGACUCUAGCAAGCGAAAACCUGGAAUUAGAUGACGUGAUGGUUUACUGUAUAUAUCGUGAAAGUGAAAUUUGGACAAACAGCUUCUCCCAAUUGAGGUACGUGUAACAAAAUUUCCCACAAAACUGCGCCUCCAUCAUGCCUACAUAUGUACCUAUUGUAUGAAAAAUGAGUUUUUAAUACUAUUAUAUAUCCACAGGAUUUAUCAACAGUUAACUAUAGAACUCCUAGUUUCUGUUGAAACUCAAAUUUUAAAUAUUCCAUCAGUCGUUAAUUUUUUGGCAAAUUCUUUUUCAAAAAUUGUUUCAAGGAACAAAUGCUUCUAUUUCUAUUUACUUACAUAACCAGCUUCUUCAACUUCUGCUUGUUAUUUUCAGACGUCUAAUAGAAUUUAAUACUAAGUUCCGGUCACUUGUUGUUGUCUCUGUUUUCGGGAAGUAUCUAAUUCUAUUAAUUGGAGUAGGGGGAGGCCUGAUAUUAUUUAAAGGGGGAGUAGAGUUUGUGGGGAAAUAUAUGUUUCUGACUCUAAUUUUGCCCCUGAUGCCGAAUAUCGAUGUGAAAAAAUUCAAAAAAAUUUCCCUGAUUUUAUAUUAAUUUUUAAAAUCCGAAAAUUCAUUGGAUGCCUAUAUGUGAGUUUUCAAACGCUGAAUUUUCCCGCCAGAGACGCCCCGCCCACGAAACCGUGCCGCAAGUGUGGGUUUACGAGAUGAAUAUUUUCCUUCUAUUUUUAUUUGAUUUUAUACCGAUUUUCGUCGAUUUUUCUCAUUUUUUCGCUGUUUUAUAUUGAAAUUUUUGUUAUUUCUCUUAAAUUAUGCCUUUCUAUUGAUGAAAUACACAAAAUUUCAUAAAAAAUUCCAUUUUCAGCACAAAUUCGACGGGAAACGAGGAAAAUCGCGGAGACACGACGAUUUUUUGAAAAUUAUCCGGAACACGUUGAUUCGUCGCGCUCCCGAGGACAAUAUUCGAUUUUUGUAGUUUUUUUUUUACCAAAAAUGUUUUUCUUGUAAAGUUUAUUGAAUAUAAACAGUUUUAUAAUAAUUUUACUUGUU
ensembl:lincRNA linc-31 ncRNA